rnacentral:rRNA from 1 species
UACGGGGGGAGCAAGCGUUGUUCGGAUUCACUGGGCGUAAAGGGUGCGUAGGUGGCCAGGUAAGUUUGGUGUGAAAGCUCGGAGCUUAACUCCGAAAAGUCAUUGAAUACUAUCUGGCUGGAGGGUCGGAGGGGAGACUGGAAUUCUCGGUGUAGCAGUGAAAUGCGUAGAUAUCGAGAGGAACACCAGUGGCGAAGGCGAGUCUCUGGACGACUCCUGACACUGAGGCACGAAAGCUAGGGGAGCAAACAGG